rnacentral:rRNA from 1 species
AUUGAACGCUGGCGGCAGGCCUAACACAUGCAAGUCGAACGGAGUGGCGGACGGGUGAGUAACGCGUGGGUAACCUGCCCUUAAGUCUGGGAUACCAUUUGGAAACAGAUGCUACUACCGGAUACUACAGGAUGGACCUGCGAUGCAUUAGCUAGUUGGUAAGGUAACGGCUUACCAAGGCGAUGAUGCAUAGCCGAGUUGAGAGACGGAUCGGCCACAUUGGGACUGAGACACGGUCCAGACUCCUACGGGAGGCAGCAGUGGGGAAUAUUGCACAAUGGGGGCAAGCCUGAUGCAGCCAUGCCGCGUGUAUGAAGAAGGCCUUCGGGUUGUAAAGUACUUUCAGCGAGGAGGCGUUACUCGCAGAAGAAGCACCGGCUAACUCCGUGCCAGCCGCCGCGGUAAUAC